AGAUAAAAUAGAUUGGGUACAGGAACUCAGGAUUGCUGCAGGAAGGCAGGGUUAUUGAAAGAAAAACUGCAACUAGGCCGAAACUGUAAAGUUUUGGCCUACAUAGAUAAAGGCUUCUGUGUAGGCUGAAACUUUGCAGUUUUUGUUUUUGCCUUCCUGCAGCAAUCCUGAGUGCCUGGACCUAAUUUAUUUUAUUGAC